ensembl:snRNA U6 U6 spliceosomal RNA
AUGCAAUCAUUGUUCCCUUUUCAAAAAAGUAACAUGACAGAGAAGAUUAGCAUGGCCUCUGCGCAAGGAUGACAUGCAAGUUCAUGAAGCGUUCCACAUUUAA